UAGGGAAUGAACUGUUUAAGUUUUUCUUAAUAAUUAAAACUGCUUUACUUAUCUCAUGAAAAGAGACUGCUAAGCUCUCAGACUUAAAAAUUUGUCGGGAUAUAAACUUAAGCAUAAACAACGUGCUUCACGAAAGUCGAAAAAUCAUCAAUAGUUUAGUUAUGCAUAAGGGGAACCCCCCUAUUUAAUUACUUGUUAUUCAACUUCCUGUUUCACUUUGUGCUGUAGUCGGACACACGGUGAAGUAAGAUGCGCAAAAUUUUUUCGAUUUAGAAACUCCAACUUUUCAAGUGUUUUGCUGAGAACUUUUUUCCAUAGGCUACCGAGUCAUCUGAAUCAUAGUUUUCUAUCUGGUCACCUGAGUUGAACGUCUGAGGUAGAUAUUCGAUACAUAAUAGAUGCAUAACCUUCACGUGUUGACGGCGCAUUUUGAAUCCAUCCGCAUUGUCUGUAUCUUAGAUCUGUUUUCUCGUGGGCAAUGAAAAGUUCAUAUUUGCCUAAUGGUUAAAAAUGAUGCUGUAGUAUGUGUUUUUUCUACAACGUUACUCUUUCACAUACUGAUUUCACAUCCAGAAAUUGGGAAAGCGACCACUUGAUAUUACUGAAGCCAUUUGAGGGUCAUUGAACUUCCCGUAUCAAAAUCAACUUUAUAGCAGAAUAUUCAAUUGUUUCUUAGUCUGUCUAUUAAUUUUCUCAAAGGGCGACUGUUUGUAUUUGAAAGGGGAAGGAGGCAAGUUAGGUGAUCUUAGUGGAGCUAUGUCCUUUAUUUGAAUUUUAGUGGUGUUUAUGUGUAUUUUUGUUCAUGACGUUACUCACUAGUGACUGAGAAUUGCUCAUUGUCACGAUAUAUCCUUAAAAGUAAUCAAGUGUGAAAAAAAGUCUGAAAGAAAACAGUAAACUGCGAUAGUCUUUUGCUGUUGAAGGGGAUUCGGUGAUAUUUGUAAAAUAGCCAGGGAGGAAGCUGUAUUUUCAGCUCUCCUGAACAGGGGUGGAGGGAAGGGAGUGAAAUAGCUGUCACUGUCAGUCGUGUGGUGUUUAAAUAGUUUGACAAUAAGGGUGUACUCCUAAUCAAGGUUGAGCAACUGACUAAAAAUACCAACAAGUGCAAAGGAAGUCAGCAAGUAACAUUCAGGCGUUCUUUUGUCCCUUUGUGUUACACUAUUGAUCACGUGUACAAGCCAGAUUAUUAUUAUGAGGUCACGAGCCAGAUGCGCUGAUCUCUCAUGAAUGAGGGAAAAACCCCUAUUUCAUUAUUUGUAAUUCAAAUUUUGGUUUCGCUUUCAGUCAUUUGGCAUUUACAUAAUUUGAAAACAAGGUUGUAUUCGUAAUCAAAGAUGAAAGACUGACUAAAAAUACCAACAAGUGCGAAGAAACUAAUCAAGCAACUAACAUACAGGAGACUUAUGUCCCUUUCCGCCUACACUAUUGAUCGCUUGUGCAAGUCAGGUUAAUAUUAUGAGAUCACAAGCCAUAUCACUGCGCUGAUCUCUCAUGUAUGGAAUAAGGGAAACCCCCUCUUUGAUUAUUGUUUUUGUAAAUCAACUUUUGAUUUCACAUUUAGUCGUUUCGCAAUGCUCGUAAGGUUGGUUGCGCAGAAGUUUAGUCCCUUCAUAAACUCAGACGUUUCCAGUCUCGUGUAGUAAUUGCUGUAAUCUUUUCUUCAUUGGCUACCGAGUCAUCUGAAUCAUAGUUUUCUGUCUGAUCAGCUGAGGUGAAGGUCUGAGGCAGGCUACUGAGCCAUCUGAAUCAUAGUUUUCUGUCUGAUCAGCUUAGCUGAAGGUCUGAGGUAAGCAUUCGUUACACGACAUAUGUUUAAACUUUGACGAAUUUUAUUUCCAUAUGUACUGUCUGUAUUUUAGAUCUCGUGGGGAAUGAACUGUUCAAAUUUUGCUUAAUUGUGAAAAAUACUGCUGUUGUAUAAAUUUUUUUUCCUACAACGUUACUCAGUCAUAUGAAUUUAAUGUCCACAAAUUGCGAAAGCAACCACUCGAUAUCACUGAAGUUCAUUGAAGGUCAUUCAACUUCCCACAUCAACUCAACUUUAUACCCGGAUAUUCAACUGUCUCUUAGUUUAGUUAAUUCUCAAAGGGCGACUGUCUGUAUUUCAAAGGGGAAGGAAGCAAGUUAGGUGAUCUUACGGCAGAACUUUCGUCUUCUCAGAAACUUCGACUUUUCCAAUAUUUCUCGACAAACCAUGCGGUAAUUGCUGUAAUCUUUUCUAUAUAGGCUACCGAGUCAUUUCAACCAUAGUUUUCUGUCUGAUCAGCUGAUGCGAAGCUCUGAGGUAGGUAUAAGAAACGACAUAUGUUUAAUCUUUGUUGACGCAUUUUGAAUCUACAGGUAUUGUCGACGUCUGUAUUUCAGAUCUGGUUUCUCUUAGGGAAUGAACUGUUUAAGUUUUUCUUAAUAAUUAAAACUGCUUUACUUAUCUCAUGAAAAGAGACUGCUAAGCUCUCAGACUUAAAAAUUUGUCGGGAUAUAAACUUAAGCAUAAACAACGUGCUUCACGAAAGUCGAAAAAUCAUCAAUAGUUUAGUUAUGCAUAAGGGGAACCCCCCUAUUUAAUUACUUGUUAUUCAACUUCCUGUUUCACUUUGUGCUGUAGUCGGACACACGGUGAAGUAAGAUGCGCAAAAUUUUUUCGAUUUAGAAACUCCAACUUUUCAAGUGUUUUGCUGAGAACUUUUUUCCAUAGGCUACCGAGUCAUCUGAAUCAUAGUUUUCUAUCUGGUCACCUGAGUUGAACGUCUGAGGUAGAUAUUCGAUACAUAAUAGAUGCAUAACCUUCACGUGUUGACGGCGCAUUUUGAAUCCAUCCGCAUUGUCUGUAUCUUAGAUCUGUUUUCUCGUGGGCAAUGAAAAGUUCAUAUUUGCCUAAUGGUUAAAAAUGAUGCUGUAGUAUGUGUUUUUUCUACAACGUUACUCUUUCACAUACUGAUUUCACAUCCAGAAAUUGGGAAAGCGACCACUUGAUAUUACUGAAGCCAUUUGAGGGUCAUUGAACUUCCCGUAUCAAAAUCAACUUUAUAGCAGAAUAUUCAAUUGUUUCUUAGUCUGUCUAUUAAUUUUCUCAAAGGGCGACUGUUUGUAUUUGAAAGGGGAAGGAGGCAAGUUAGGUGAUCUUAGUGGAGCUAUGUCCUUUAUUUGAAUUUUAGUGGUGUUUAUGUGUAUUUUUGUUCAUGACGUUACUCACUAGUGACUGAGAAUUGCUCAUUGUCACGAUAUAUCCUUAAAAGUAAUCAAGUGUGAAAAAAAGUCUGAAAGAAAACAGUAAACUGCGAUAGUCUUUUGCUGUUGAAGGGGAUUCGGUGAUAUUUGUAAAAUAGCCAGGGAGGAAGCUGUAUUUUCAGCUCUCCUGAACAGGGGUGGAGGGAAGGGAGUGAAAUAGCUGUCACUGUCAGUCGUGUGGUGUUUAAAUAGUUUGACAAUAAGGGUGUACUCCUAAUCAAGGUUGAGCAACUGACUAAAAAUACCAACAAGUGCAAAGGAAGUCAGCAAGUAACAUUCAGGCGUUCUUUUGUCCCUUUGUGUUACACUAUUGAUCACGUGUACAAGCCAGAUUAUUAUUAUGAGGUCACGAGCCAGAUGCGCUGAUCUCUCAUGAAUGAGGGAAAAACCCCUAUUUCAUUAUUUGUAAUUCAAAUUUUGGUUUCGCUUUCAGUCAUUUGGCAUUUACAUAAUUUGAAAACAAGGUUGUAUUCGUAAUCAAAGAUGAAAGACUGACUAAAAAUACCAACAAGUGCGAAGAAACUAAUCAAGCAACUAACAUACAGGAGACUUAUGUCCCUUUCCGCCUACACUAUUGAUCGCUUGUGCAAGUCAGGUUAAUAUUAUGAGAUCACAAGCCAUAUCACUGCGCUGAUCUCUCAUGUAUGGAAUAAGGGAAACCCCCUCUUUGAUUAUUGUUUUUGUAAAUCAACUUUUGAUUUCACAUUUAGUCGUUUCGCAAUGCUCGUAAGGUUGGUUGCGCAGAAGUUUAGUCCCUUCAUAAACUCAGACGUUUCCAGUCUCGUGUAGUAAUUGCUGUAAUCUUUUCUUCAUUGGCUACCGAGUCAUCUGAAUCAUAGUUUUCUGUCUGAUCAGCUGAGGUGAAGGUCUGAGGCAGGCUACUGAGCCAUCUGAAUCAUAGUUUUCUGUCUGAUCAGCUUAGCUGAAGGUCUGAGGCUACCGAGUCAUUUCAACCAUAGUUUUCUGUCUGAUCAGCUGAUGCGAAGCUCUGAGGUAGGUAUAAGAAACGACAUAUGUUUAAUCUUUGUUGACGCAUUUUGAAUCUACAGGUAUUGUCGACGUCUGUAUUUCAGAUCUGGUUUCUCUUAGGGAAUGAACUGUUUAAGUUUUUCUUAAUAAUUAAAACUGCUUUACUUAUCUCAUGAAAAGAGACUGCUAAGCUCUCAGACUUAAAAAUUUGUCGGGAUAUAAACUUAAGCAUAAACAACGUGCUUCACGAAAGUCGAAAAAUCAUCAAUAGUUUAGUUAUGCAUAAGGGGAACCCCCCUAUUUAAUUACUUGUUAUUCAACUUCCUGUUUCACUUUGUGCUGUAGUCGGACACACGGUGAAGUAAGAUGCGCAAAAGUUUUUCGAUUUAGAAACUCCAACUUUUCAAGUGUUUUGCUGAGAACUUUUUUCCAUAGGCUACCGAGUCAUCUGAAUCAUAGUUUUCUAUCUGGUCACCUGAGUUGAACGUCUGAGGUAGAUAUUCGAUACAUAAUAGAUGCAUAACCUUCACGUGUUGACGGCGCAUUUUGAAUCCAUCCGCAUUGUCUGUAUCUUAGAUCUGUUUUCUCGUGGGCAAUGAAAAGUUCAUAUUUGCCUAAUGGUUAAAAAUGAUGCUGUAGUAUGUGUUUUUUCUACAACGUUACUCUUUCACAUACUGAUUUCACAUCCAGAAAUUGGGAAAGCGACCACUUGAUAUUACUGAAGCCAUUUGAGGGUCAUUGAACUUCCCGUAUCAAAAUCAACUUUAUAGCAGAAUAUUCAAUUGUUUCUUAGUCUGUCUAU